CCGACCUAAAGGAUCAAUCUAAACCAUACAAUCUAUGUCGGUUUGAUCCAAUGGCUCACGUUCACUUGAGGGGACUAUAAAACCAGACCCCCUGACCCCUGGAGGAGAGAGGAGAAAUCAUUAUUCAGAGGUAGCCAUCAAAGUUAGGGUUUAGAGCUUCUCUCCCACAGAGAAUUAGAAUUAGCUACUCCCUAAUCCUUC
rnacentral:lncRNA from 1 species